rnacentral:tRNA from 1 species
GCCUUCGUGGUGUAACGGUCAGUACGCUCGACGCGUGUUCGAGAAGUCUAGUUUCGAGUCCCGGCGAGGGCA